rfam:Ictidomys tridecemlineatus contig023246, whole genome shotgun sequence.
GGGGCUAUAGCUCAGAGGCAGAGCACUUGCCUAUCAUGCAAGAGGCACUGGGUUCGAUCCUUAGCACCA